ensembl:snRNA U6 U6 spliceosomal RNA
GUGCUUUCUUUGGCAGCUCAUCUGCUAAAACUGGAAUGGUACAGAGAAUAUUAGCAAGUGUGCUGCCCAAGGAUGACAUGCAAUUUUGUGAAGCAUUCUAUGGUUUA